rnacentral:rRNA from 1 species
UGGGGAAUCUUGCACAAUGGGCGAAAGCCUGAUGCAGCGACGCCGCGUGAGGGAUGACGGCCUUCGGGUUGUAAACCUCUUUCAGUAGGGACGAAGCGCGAGUGACGGUACCUGCAGAAGAAGCACCGGCUAACUACGUGCCAGCAGCCGCGGUAAUACGUAGGGUGCGAGCGUUGUCCGGAAUUAUUGGGCGUAAAGAGCUCGUAGGCGGUUUGUCGCGUCGGCCGUGAAAACCUCAGGCUUAACUUGGGGCUUGCGGUCGAUACGGGCAGACUUGAGUUCGGCAGGGGAGACUGGAAUUCCUGGUGUAGCGGUGAAAUGCGCAGAUAUCAGGAGGAACACCGGUGGCGAAGGCGGGUCUCUGGGCCGAUACUGACGCUGAGGAGCGAAAGCGUGGGGAGCGAACAGGAUUAGAUACCCCGGUAGUCC